CCAAUUUCUAGUCUUCCUAAGAGCAAUUAAUUUGUUCAGUAAUAUUCAUUGAGUCUUUACCAUUGGGUAAAGUCUUGAUGGAAGAGGGGAGUAGGAAUGGUUUAGACAAAUACGUAAAACAUUAAUCUUGUGUUCAGAAAACUUUCAGUUCUGUCUGUGAACAAGACGUGAUUAUUACCCUACAGCACCCAAAUAAAGAGGUUAAGAGGAAAAAUUACUACUGUUAGAAGUAAUAAAGACAAAAGCUGAGUCUUAACUACUAUUGGGACAAGUUGGACUUUGUUUUGGGGUGGAUUAGACAAACAGUUCACCAUGGGCAAAGUGGAGCUGGGGGAUGUGGAGGAUUGUAUGGAAACAGCUCUUUGCUUGGUUUGGCAAAAGUGCAGGCUGAAUUAGAAAGCAGAGUACUUAAGGCUUCUUUGGACCGUGACCGCUGGUUAUUAUAACACAGUCUGAGCAAUUGUUUGCAUAAACAACAGGAGACACUUUGCAGCUGCUGGUUAUGAAGUUGAAGAGUAGCCCCCGGCUUGGAACCCAAGAACAGGGCCAACAGGACAGGGCAGGAGAACAGCUGUCUUGGUGAAAUAAGGCAGCCCGAAUAGGCUCAUUGAACAAUCUACAACUUGAGAUGACUCCUGUCUUCUUUCCUCCCAUGACCUGAGGACUGUGGCUGUGGAGAUGGGUGAGGAGCGCUAACUGGCCAUGGGUUUUCCCAAGGGUGAAGCCAACUGAGAAAAGCCUUACCUUCAACUUUCAGUACAGAAAAUUUUAGGGUGAGAACAAAGUUGAGAGUAACAGCAAACAGAAUCAAUAAAAUGUGGAAGCAGGUAUAGGCAA